GCCAAGGUGGUAGAGUGGUCAAUUACACGAGUCUGUAGAACUCGCUCCGAAAGGAUACCUAGGUUCGAAUCCUAGCCUUGGCA
rfam:Microgenomates (Woesebacteria) bacterium GW2011_GWB1_33_22 TR35_C0002, whole genome shotgun sequence.